rnacentral:lncRNA from 1 species
GCAGGUCUCAUCCGGCAGCCCGUGGUACGGCCCCGACCGCGUCAAGUACCUCGGCCCCUUCUCCGGCGAGCCCCCGUCCUACUUGACCGGCGAGUUCCCCGGGGACUACGGGUGGGACACCGCCGGGCUCUCGGCCGACCCCGAGACCUUCGCCAAGAACCGGGAGCUCGAGGUGAUCCACUGCAGGUGGGCCAUGCUCGGGGCCCUCGGGUGCGUCUUCCCGGAGCUCCUGGCCCGCAACGGCGUCAAGUUCGGCGAGGCCGUGUGGUUCAAGGCCGGCGCCCAGAUCUUCAGCGAGGGCGGCCUCGACUACCUCGGCAACCCCAGCCUGAUCCACGCCCAGAGCAUCCUCGCCAUCUGGGCCUGCCAGGUCAUCCUGAUGGGCGCCGUCGAGGGCUACCGCGUCGCCGGAGGGCCCCUCGGGGAGGUGACCGACCCGCUCUACCCCGGCGGCAGCUUCGACCCGCUCGGCCUCGCGGACGACCCCGAGGCCUUCGCGGAGCUCAAGGUGAAGGAGAUCAAGAACGGGCGGCUCGCCAUGUUCUCCAUGUUCGGGUUCUUCGUGCAGGCGAUCGUGACCGGAAAGGGGCCGCUGGAGAACCUGGCCGACCACCUCGCCGACCCGGUGAACAACAACGCCUGGGCCUACGCCACCAACUUCGUCCCCGGAAAGUGAGGGGUCUUAUGUAGACGAGAGGGUCUUUUUUUUUAUGACGAUUCUUGUGGUGGUUCCUCAUCUCGUGUAAAUUC